AAAGGCUCCUGGUGGAAGGUGAGACAGAGAGAGUCACUGAGAGAACAGGGCAAGAAGGUGGCUGGCUGUGUGAGGGAACGAAAAGUGCAGUCGUACCCUUGUGAAGCUGAGUGGGGCCCCAUGGGCCUGGCCCCACCUGUUGUCCAGAGCAUACCCCUGCCCCCAGGUGAUGGAGGACUCCAUGAGCUCGGCCACCACCCUGACCACGCCGCAGGAGCAGGUGGAUAGUCUCAUCAUGCAGAUCGCCGAGGAGAAUGGCCUGGAGGUGCUGGACCAGCUCAGCCAGCUGCCCGAGGGCGCCUCUGCCGUGGGCGAGAGCUCUGUGCGCAGCCAGGAGGACCAGCUGUCACGGAGGUUGGCCGCCUUGAGGAACUAGCCGUGCCCCGCCGGCGUGCGCCGCCUCUGCCCCGUGAUGUGCUGGAAGGCUCCUGUCCUCUCCCCACCGCAUCUUGCCUUUGUGCUGACCCCGCGGGGCUGCGGCCGGCAGCCACUCUGCGUCUCUCACCUGCCAGGCCUGCGUGGCCUCAGGGUUGUUCCUGUUCUUUUAGGUUGGGCGGUGGGUCUGUGUCCUGGUGUUGAGUUUCUGCAAAUUUCUGGGGGUGAUUUCUGUGACUCUGGGCCCACAGCGGGGAGGCCAGGAGGGGCCCUGUGGACUUUCACCCAGCACUGUGGGGGCCUUCAGACUCUGGGGCAGCAGACAUGCUGCUUCCCGUCAGCCAGAGGGGGUCAGGGCUGCCCUGUUGCCAAACAACUCCCUGAGGCCUCUCCGCACCACCUCAGCGGGCAGGAGGUCCCACCAUGUGGACAGACAUAGCCCAAGGAGGCACCACAGGCCUAUGUGUGCUGGGGGAUGUCAGGUGCCACCCAGCGCUGUCCUGGUGGUGUUUACAAUGACAUCCUCCUCCUCCAUCAUUCCAGGGGUGGGGUCUCGGCCGCCCCUACCAGCUGGCUGAGCCCCCUGGCCUCCUGCGCUCCCUCACUUCCCUCAGUUCCCAAAGCUGCCCAGUCCAUGGGGACAGAACCGUCACUCAGAUCCACAUUCAAGUGUGCCCACCCUGCAGUCUUCAUCCUCACUCAGCUGCUGCCUCUGGAGGUGCCUUUGGCCACAUGUGCUGUGCUGUUUGUCUCCUCGACGGGCAGCCUGUCCACCAGCAGGCUGCGGUCCCAGCGGGUGCGUCUGCAGCUCCUCCCCUUGGGCAGCCUGGUUCUCCCGGAGGACCUUUCCCUGGGGCCCUGCUUCGUGACGAUGCUGCCUGUGUCGCCCUCUACCAUCUGUAAACAACUGGGUGCCUUCCCCGACCGCACCCCGAUGCCUUCCCAGCUUGGAAGCCAAGGCAGCUGAUGAAGGGAGCUCAGGAGAGCCGUCUUCAGCUGGGCUGGGGUUGGGGCUGCUGUGAGGAAAACCUGCCAUUGUGGCCCUGGAGAGUCACCAGCAGCUCUUGGGAAGGACUUGCUGGGAGGCUGAGAGAGGCUUUGGGCACAGCCUGCUGUCUUUUCCAUUUCCUAAAGUUUACUUCAUUGUCUUGAGGCUUCCAGGUUUUGUUUUUGUUUUUGUUUUUGCCAAAGUAGAAAAGGCAGGUGGUGGGCGGCUGGCGGGGAGUGCGGGUCCCUGCCCCUCUUCAGUCCUGCCCUCCCCUCCUCAGUCCUGCCCACCCCGUGCAGCCCAUGCUGAGGCUGCAGUGGUGUCGUGGGUGUUAUGUGCAGGAACGUGGAGACCCUGACGUGGGCUCACUGCGUUUGGUUUUCUUUUCAGAACUUGGGAGCCCCCAGGGAGGGGCUCGUGUUGGUAGGUCCUAGACGUGGUUCCCUCCAGCCUCCCCAAAAUCAACCCUGGUGUUGAGAGAACGUCUUUCUGUCCAUCGUGGGUAACAGCCUUGGGGAGGGUGCAGAGCUCUGCAGAGCCAUGGGCCAGGUGGGGCUGCCUCAGUCCUGUCCCCUUGGGCACUGAGGAGAGGGGCCCAUUCACCUUUCUCCUAGAAUGCUGUUGUAAAUAAACAAAUGGAUCCCUGGAAA
rnacentral:sRNA from 1 species